UGUAUAAUGGGUCAGCGACUUAUAUUCUGUAGCAAGGUUAACCGAAUAGGGGAGCCGAAGGGAAACCGAGUCUUAACUGGGCGUUAAGUUGCAGGGUAUAGACCCGAAACCCGGUGAUCUAGCCAUGGGCAGGUUGAAGGUUGGGUAACACUAACUGGAGGACCGAACCGACUAAUGUUGAAAAAUUAGCGGAUGACUUGUGGCUGGGGGUGAAAGGCCAAUCAAACCGGGAGAUAGCUGGUUCUCCCCGAAAGCUAUUUAGGUAGCGCCUCGUGAAUUCAUCUCCGGGGGUAGAGCACUGUUUCGGCAAGGGGGUCAUCCCGACUUACCAACCCGAUGCAAACUGCGAAUACCGGAGAAUGUUAUCACGGGAGACACACGGCGGGUGCUAACGUCCGUCGUGAAGAGGGAAACAACCCAGACCGCCAGCUAAGGUCCCAAAGUCAUGGUUAAGUGGGAAACGAUGUGGGAAGGCCCAGACAGCCAGGAUGUUGGCUUAGAAGCAGCCAUCAUUUAAAGAAAGCGUAAUAGCUCACUGGUCGAGUCGGCCUGCGCGGAAGAUGUAACGGGGCUAAACCAUGCACCGAAGCUGCGGCAGCGACGCUUAUGCGUUGUUGGGUAGGGGAGCGUUCUGUAAGCCUGCGAAGGUGUGCUGUGAGGCAUGCUGGAGGUAUCAGAAGUGCGAAUGCUGACAUAAGUAACGAUAAAGCGGGUGAAAAGCCCGCUCGCCGGAAGACCAAGGGUUCCUGUCCAACGUUAAUCGGGGCAGGGUGAGUCGACCCCUAAGGCGAGGCCGAAAGGCGUAGUCGAUGGGAAACAGGUUAAUAUUCCUGUACUUGGUGUUACUGCGAAGGGGGGACGGAGAAGGCUAUGUUGGCCGGGCGACGGUUGUCCCGGUUUAAGCGUGUAGGCUGGUUUUCCAGGCAAAUCCGGAAAAUCAAGGCUGAGGCGUGAUGACGAGGCACUACGGUGCUGAAGCAACAAAUGCCCUGCUUCCAGGAAAAGCCUCUAAGCAUCAGGUAACAUCAAAUCGUACCCCAAACCGACACAGGUGGUCAGGUAGAGAAUACCAAGGCGCUUGAGAGAACUCGGGUGAAGGAACUAGGCAAAAUGGUGCCGUAACUUCGGGAGAAGGCACGCUGAUAUGUAGGUGAAGUCCCUUGCGG
rnacentral:rRNA from 1 species